UAUCUCUGUAGAGUCUGCAUAUCAAUAAGCGGAGGAAAAGAAACUAACUAGGAUUCCCUCAGUAACGGCGAGUGAAGCGGGAAGAGCUCAAAUUUGAAAUCUUCAAGGUUUUACCUUGACGAAUUGUAGUUUAAAGAAGUGUUUUCUGUUGGAGUUUUGGUAAAAGUUCUUUGGAAUAGGACAUCAUAGAGGGUGAGAAUCCGUAUUUGACCAUUACUUCCAGCUUUGUGAUACACUUUCAAAGAGUCGGAUUGUUUGGGAAUGCAGUCCAAAAUGGGUGGUAAAUUUCAUCUAAAGCUAAAUAUUGGCGAGAGACCGAUAGCGAACAAGUACCGUGAGGGAAAGAUGAAAAGAACUUUGAAAAGAGAGUUAAACAGUACGUGAAAUUGUCAAAAGGGAAGCGUUUGACACCAGUGUUGUUUUCUCGAAAAUCAAUUAAAAAUGGCGGGAUUUUGUGUUGUAUUGACUUUAUCAGCUUUCUGCACUCUUUUCCUGUCUUUUUUAAUGCACUUUUCGUUUAACAAGUCAGCAUCAAUUUCUUUUGUUGUAAAAGAGUCAUUGGAAGGUGGCUUUCUUUUCGGAGAAAGUGUUUAUAGCCUUUGGCCUCUGCAAUCGGAGAGAUUGAGGUCUGCAGCGUAGAUCCUUCGGGGGUUAGAUACAUUUGUGCUAAGUUAUAGCCUUUCAUAGACAACUUGUUGACUAUGAUCAGUCAUGUAGCUUACUCGCUUAUGCUAUUUUACCUACGCUUAGGAUGUUGAGUCAUCACACAUCUCU
rnacentral:rRNA from 1 species